rnacentral:rRNA from 1 species
GGACUACCAGGGUAUCUAAUCCUGUUCGCUCCCCACGCUUUCGCUCCUCAGCGUCAGUAUCGGCCCAGAGACCCGCCUUCGCCACCGGUGUUCCUCCUGAUAUCUGCGCAUUUCACCGCUACACCAGGAAUUCCAGUCUCCCCUACCGAACUCUAGCCCGCCCGUAUCGGCUGCAAGCCCACGGUUAAGCCGCGGGUUUUCACAGCCGACGCAACAAGCCGCCUACGAGCUCUUUACGCCCAAUAAAUCCGGACAACGCUCGCGCCCUACGUCUUACCGCGGCGGCUGGCAC